rnacentral:misc_RNA from 1 species
UGUAAAUUCGCCGAAUUAGUGCCAAAAGUAUAGUUUAAUAAAUAUUAUUUAUUCAUAGUUACCAAUAAAUUAUCUUAAAUUUUGUAAUAAAACAAAUAAAAUUUUAACUUUUUAAAGUUUUUCCUUUAAUCUUAACAUUAUUAGUGCAGAAAUUUCAUUUCGACUCAUCAAAAUAAGCGUACGAAGAAAAGAGAUAGAAAAAUUGUUGCGGCAUACACUCGUAUAAUAACAGCCACACUGACUGGCCACUGACAUCAUCAUCAUCAUAUUUAUCACUGGAUUUUCAAAAUGACCACAGAUCUGCUUUUUCCUAAAAUUGCUGAUUGUUCAUACGUUUCAUGUUAUUGCGAAGAAAAUGUUUGGAAACUUUGCGAACAAGUUAAGAAAACCCGUAACGACGAACUUUCAAAAUGUUAUGCUGUGUUUGUAUCAAAUGAGGGUCGCACCGUGCCCUUAUGGCGCCAAAAGGCGGGACGAGGAGAUGACCAAGUUGUGAUAUGGGACUAUCAUGUAUUUUUUAUGCAUAAUCCUUCCCCAAAUAGAUGUCUGGUAUUCGAUUUAGAUACGACCCUUCCUUUUCCAACAUAUUUUCAUAAAUAUGUUACAGAAACAUUUCGUUCCGAUUUAGCUUUAAGGCAAGAACAUCACAGAUUCUUUCGUGUAAUACCUGCUGAAACAUAUCUUGCUGAAUUCUCGUCAGAUCGAAGGCAUAUGAGAAGGCCAGAUGGUAGCUGGAUAAAACCUCCACCUUCGUAUCCGCCCAUACAAUCUUGCAGUAAUACUCACACUUUGGGUGAUUUCAUUUGUAUGAGUCCCGGCAAAGGACCUGGUUCGGUCUAUAGUCUUUCAGAGUUUGUUCAAAAUUUCUAUAAAUCUCCAAAUGUUGUGGCGCAACAAAAUAAUAAAUAAUAUCAUCCAAUAGAUAUUUUUAAAGUGUGACUAUUAGUUAAAUUUAAUUGAAAAUUUUAAUUUAUGUACUUUAAUACUAAAUUAAAAAAUUAACAUUACAAUUACCAACAACAUUAAGACUACCGCACUUUAAAGUUAAAGAAUAAUAAAACUAAAACAACAUCAGCAAAAAAAGGAAUAUGUAUGUGAAUAAAAACUUAUUUUUUGUUCUAUUUAUUUAAAAAGAACACAAAAAUAUCACUUCAAAUGUUUACAGGCGGAACAUUUUCAUUCAUUUGAUUCAAAAUACUUUGCUUGAUAUUUUAAAAUAGUAUUUAGCAACACAAAUGAAAUGAAAAUCUAAACAUGAAAUUGUCGGCAACACCGGCUGUGAUAAAUGGAUUAGCAAGCAAUUAAGUUGCAUUGCUACAAUAUUUUUGAAUAUCACGAUGUAUUAUUUAUUGUUAAGUCGUAUUUCAUUCACAACGACCCCGGGUGUGGACGACAGCCAAACAUUUAUAUAAGUUAACUUCUAUCUGUGGUUCUCUUCGAUAUGGAUAUAAAGCAAGACCCAUUUAUUGAAAUUUAAAUUACAAUUAAGGCUACAGCUAUUUUUAUUAUAUCAAUUGAUGUCGGGAGAAAAAAUAUAUAAAAUACAAGACCAAAUACUCGAGAUUGUACGAAAAUAAAAAUCACACAUUUAAAUUAGAAUUUUGAAUGUUAAUUUAAAAAUUAAAAUCAAUUAUACAUAUAUUUUUAAAUAUCUUAAAUAUUUUACAAUUUAUACCCUUAAAAAAUAUAUAUUACUAAUACUAACUUUAUCUGUCUAUAAUUUAUGAAAUUUUUAUUCCUAAUCUCGCACAAUAUACUUACAUAUGUAUGUAUGAAUUUAUGUACAUUGAACGAAAAAUAAAAAUAUACUUACAUGCCUACAUAUGUAUGUAUGUAUUUAUGUAUUCUAUAUGUGUAAGAGAUCAGAAAACGGACUUUUGGUUUUUGUUAAUAACUUGUGUAUGUAAAUAUGUUAAAACAUUUGAAUAAAUAUUUUAUUCGAAUAUUAUUUCAAAGAGACUGAAAGUAGUAACCAAGAAUGUAGUUUGAAGGCAGCAUUAUAUAUAGUUUCUCGCAUUUCAAUAGCAAACACAAAACCAAAAUAAAUACAAAAUUAUUAAUUAGUAUAUUUAUUUUUUUUCCAAAAACAUGAGCAAAUAUUUGUUUACUAAAACCCACUAGAGCCCACGUAAUGCUAAAAUAUAUAAAAUUGUUAAAAAGACUGAUGCCUGUUAAUAUGGUAAAUAUGUGUAUCUUAUAAUUUUUUAAGGUCCUGCAAGCUCCCUCCAUUAUGUUAAAUACAAAAUUUAAUGAAAUAAAAAGUAUAUUCAUGUUUUAAAGUCCGUUCAUCUGGUUUUAUAGAGUAUUUUUGCUUAAUCUUGAUAAACCUUUUUUGUUAUUAACUAUUUUUAAAAUUUAUUAAUUAUGUACUUAUCUAAGCAUUUAGUAUUUAAAAUCGUUUUCAUAUUUUUAAGGUUUCUAUUGUAAAACUCUAGUUUAACCUUUUAACAAAUAUUGAAAAAAAAAACAAAAAUCAAGUUAACAUUGUUUCUAGUAACAUAUUUUACAGCAAAUUUACAUUAAAUUUAUCGAUUUGUAUGUGUGUAAUUUUCUAUUUUUUAUAUUUUUUAAAAACUAACUUAUUGAUACAAAAUACUACACGAGACAUUUACUCUAUCGUUUUAUAAUCACUAAUAAUUUUUAAUAUGUAAUUGAAAUAAGAAAUUUGUUAUGAAAAAAUAAAUAUUUUUGUUAAUAGAUUUAAGAAUUAAAUAUUACAGUAAUAAUACGCACCAUUCCAAAAAUACUACAACAAAUUGGAAAUAUUUCUUUAAAAUACAUUUUAAACACAAAAGGUCUACAAACUAUUAAAACAUUUAUAUAUUUACCGAGCCUUAAAGAAUAAUAUUCAACAAUUUUAUUAUUUCUAAGGCAUUUAACAAUUUCUGUUUUUUUACACAUUCAUAUCGAGGAGUAAUUGCAAAACUAAUGUUUUGAUGAUAUUUAUUGAAAUUUAAUACAUUUUACUGAAAACUUUAUUGACAUUUUCCAAUUGGCCAAUGACUUUAAAAGAAAAAAAUUACUUUUUUAUAUGAAUCCAGAAAAAAACCUUUCACAUAAGACAAACAAAAUUGUUUUUUUUUUAUUUUUUUUUAAAUUUUAGAUUUUACUAAAAACUUUUUUAUGCAUUUUAAUUACGUAUAUUCAAAAGACAACAAUAAAAUCACACAGUUACGGAAGAACAACAUACUCUAGUUUUAACAACAUAAUAUUGACAAC